GACGAACGCUGGCGGCGUGCCUAAUACAUGCAAGUUGAGCGCUGAAGGUUGGUACUUGUCCCAACUGGCUGAGCAGCGAACGGGUGAGUAACGCGUGGGGAAUCUGCCUUUGAGCGGGGGACAACAUUUGGAAACGAAUGCUAAUACCGCAUAAAAACUUUAAACACAAGUUUUAAGUUUGAAAGAUGCAAUUGCAUCACUCAAAGAUGAUCCCGCGUUGUAUUAGCUAGUUGGUGAGGUAAAGGCUCACCAAGGCGAUGAUACAUAGCCGACCUGAGAGGGUGAUCGGCCACAUUGGGACUGAGACACGGCCCAAACUCCUACGGGAGGCAGCAGUAGGGAAUCUUCGGCAAUGGACGAAAGUCUGACCGAGCAACGCCGCGUGAGUGAAGAAGGUUUUCGGAUCGUAAAACUCUGUUGGUAGAGAAGAACGUUGGUGAGAGUGGAAAGCUCAUCAAGUGACGGUAACUACCCAGAAAGGGACGGCUAACUUCGUG
rnacentral:rRNA from 1 species